rnacentral:rRNA from 1 species
ACUCCUACGGGAGGCAGCAGUGGGAAUAUUGGACAAUGGGGGGACCCGUAGCUCCAGCCAUGCCGCGUGUGUGAAGAAGGCCUUAUGGUUGUAAAGCACUUUAAGCGAGGAGGAGGCUACUGAGACUAAUACUCUUGGAUAGUGGACGUUACUCGCAGAAGAAGCACCGGCUAACUCCGUGCCAGCAGCCGCGGUAAUACGGAGGGUGCGAGCGUUAAUCGGAAUUACUGGGCGUAAAGCGCAUGCAGGUGGUUUGUUAAGUCAGAUGUGAAAGCCCGGGGCUCAACCUCGGAAUUGCAUUUGAAACUGGCAGACUAGAGUACUGUAGAGGGGGGUGAGAAUUAUCAGGUGUAGCGGUGAAAUGCGUAGAGAUCUGAAGGAAUACCGGUGGCGAAGGCGGCCCCCUGGACAGAUACUGACACUCAGAUGCGAAAGCGUGGGAGCAAACAGGAUUAGAUACCCCGGUAGGCUCU